AUUGAACGCUGGCGGCAUGCCUUACACAUGCAAGUCGAACGGCAGCACGGGAGCAAUCCUGGUGGCGAGUGGCGAACGGGUGAGUAAAGUAUCGGAACGUGCCCAGUCGUGGGGGAUAACGUAGCGAAAGUUACGCUAAUACCGCAUACGUACUGAGGUAGAAAGUGGGGGACCUUCGGGCCUCACGCUAUUCGAGCGGCCGACGUCUGAUUAGCUAGUUGGUGAGGUAAAGGCUCACCAAGGCGACGAUCAGUAGCGGGUCUGAGAGGAUGAUCCGCCACACUGGGACUGAGACACGGCCCAGACGCCUACGGGAGGCAGCAGUGGGGAAUUUUGGACAAUGGGCGCAAGCCUGAUCCAGCCAUGCCGCGUGUGUGAAGAAGGCCUUCGGGUUGUAAAGCACUUUCAGUAGGGAGGAAGAGUUGAGUGUUAAUAGUACUCAGCUUUGACGUUACCUACAGAAGAAGCACCGGCUAACUCUAUGCCAGCAGCCGCCGUAA
rnacentral:rRNA from 1 species